rnacentral:rRNA from 1 species
CCCUUAGAUGUCCGGGGCUGCACGCGCGCUACACUGAAGGAAUCAGCGUGCUAAAACCAUUGUCGAAAGGCAUUGGUAAACCCAUUAAAAUCCUACGUGAUUGGGAUCGGGAAUUGCAAUUAUUUCCCUUGAACGAGGAAUUCCCAGUAAGUGUGGGUCAUAAGCUCGCGUUGAUUACGUCCCUGCCCUUUGUACACACCGCCCGUCGCUGCCCGGGACUGAGCCGUUUCGAGAAAAGCGGGGACUGCUGCUGUCGGGGCUUUCGGGCCUUGGCUUCGGUGGAAACCGCUUUAAUCGCAGUGGCUUGAACCGGGCAAAAGUCGNAACA